rnacentral:rRNA from 1 species
CCAGACUCCUACGGGAGGCAGCAGUGGGGAAUAUUGCGCAAUGGGCGAAAGCCUGACGCAGCGACGCCGCGUGAGGGAUGAAGGUCUUCGGAUCGUAAACCUCUGUCAGCAGGGAAGAACGGUCACUGUGCUAAUCAGCAGUGAAUUGACAGUACCUGCAAAGGAAGCACCGGCUAAAUACGUGCCAGCAGCCGCGGUAAUACGUAUGGAGCAAGCGUUAUCCGGAUUUACUGGGUGUAAAGGGAGCGCAGGCGGCCUUGCAAGUCUGAUGUGAAAGGCCGGGGCCCAACCCCGGGACUGCAUUGGAAACUGGCAAACUGGAGUGUGUGAGAGGAUAGUGGAAUUCCAGGUGUAGGAGUGAAAUCCGUAGAUAUCUGGAGGAACAUCAGUGGCGAAGGCGACUAUCUGGCACAUAACUGACGCUGAAGCACGAAAGCGUGGGUAUCGAACAGGAUUAGAUACCCCAGUA